CGGACGAACGCUGGCGGCGUGCCUAACACAUGCAAGUCGAGCGGGGUGGUUCUGAAGGGCAACCGGAGGGAUCACCUAGCGGCGAACGGGUGAGUAACGCGUGGAUAACCUACCUCAAGGUCUGGGAUAACAGCUCGAAAGGGCUGCUAAUACCGGAUGUGGUGCAUAUGCUGCAUGGUAGAUGCACUAAAGGGGAAACCCGCCAUGAGAUGGGUCCGCGUCCCAUCAGCUAGUUGGUGGGGUAAAGGCCUACCAAGGCGACGACGGGUAGCCGGCCUGAGAGGGUGACCGGCCACACUGGGACUGAGACACGGCCCAGACUCCUACGGGGGGCAGCAGUGGGGAAUAUUGCACAAUGGGCGAAAGCCUGAUGCAGCGACGCCGCGUGGGCGAAGAAGGCCUUCGGGUUGUAAAGCCCUGUCUGGAGGGACGAAGUAAUGACGGUACCUCCGGAGGAAGCCACGGCUAACUACGUG
rnacentral:rRNA from 1 species